rnacentral:tRNA from 1 species
GCCGGAGUGGUGGAAUUGGCAGACACGUAGCGUUCAGGGCGCUAUGACCGCGAGGUCGUGAGGGUUCAACUCCCUCCUCCGGCACCA